rnacentral:rRNA from 1 species
GACGAACGCUGGCGGCGUGCUUAACACAUGCAAGUCGAACGGAAAGGCCCUGCUUUUGUGGGGUGCUCGAGUGGCGAACGGGUGAGUAACACGUGAGUAACCUGCCCUUGACUUUGGGAUAACUUCAGGAAACUGGGGCUAAUACCGGAUAGGAGCUCCUGCUGCAUGGUGGGGGUUGGAAAGUUUCGGCGGUUGGGGAUGGACUCGCGGCUUAUCAGCUUGUUGGUGGGGUAGUGGCUUACCAAGGCUUUGACGGGUAGCCGGCCUGAGAGGGUGACCGGCAACAGGGGGACUGAGAGACGGCCCGGCCGCCUACGGGGGGCAGCACGGGGGAGGAGUGAUGAGUGGGCGGGAGCUUGCCGCAGCAACCCCGCGUGCGGGAGGGCGGCCUCCGGUUGGUAAACAGCAUGCGCCUGUGACGAAGCGGCAGUGACGGGAAUGGGUAAAGAAGCACCGCCUGCCGACGU